rnacentral:rRNA from 1 species
CCUACGGGUGGCAGCAGUGAGGAAUAUUGGUCAAUGGACGAGAGUCUGAACCAGCCAAGUAGCGUGAAGGAUGACUGCCCUAUGGGUUGUAAACUUCUUUUAUAUGGGAAUAAAAUGUUCCACGUGUGGGAUUUUGUAUGUACCAUAUGAAUAAGGAUCGGCUAACUCCGUGCCAGCAACCGCGGUAAGACGGAGGAUCCGAGCGUUAUCCGGAUUGAUUGGGUUGAAAGGGAGCGUAGGUGGAUUGUUAAGUCAGUUGUGAAAGUUUGCGGCUCAACCGUAAAAUUGCAGUUGAAACUGGCAGUCUAGAGUACAGUAGAGGUGGGCGGAACUCGUGGUGUAGCGGUAAAAUGCUUAGAUAUCACGAAGAACUCCGAUGGCGAAGGCAGUUCACUGGACUGCAACUGACACUGAGGCUCGAAAGUGUGGGUAUCAAACAGGAUUAGAUACCCCUGUAGUC